UACGGAGGGAGCAAGCGUUACUCGGAAUUAUUGGGCGUAAAGGGCGCGUAGGCGAUUUGAAAAGUCUUGUGUGAAAGCCCCGAGCUUAACUCGGGAAGUGCACAAGAAACUGUUGAAUUUGAGUUCCGGAGAGGAAGGCAGAAUUCCCGGUGGUAGCGGUGAAAUGCGUAGAUAUCGGGAGGAAUACCAGUGGCGAAGGCGGCCUUCUGGAGCGGAUACGUGACGCUGAGGUGCGAGAGCGUGGGGAGCAAACAGG
rnacentral:rRNA from 1 species